CCUACGGGGGGCAGCAGUGAGGAAUAUUGGUCAAUGGUCUGGAGACUGAACCAGCCAAGCCGCGUGAGGGAUGAAGGUACAGAGUAUCGUAAACCUCUUUUGUCAGGGAACAACGGCGGGGACGUGUCCCCGGAUGAAUGUACCUUAAGAACAAGCAUCGGCUAACUCCGUGCCAGCAGCCGCGGUAAUACGGAGGAUGCGAGCGUUAUCCGGAUUUAUUGGUUUUAAAGGGUGCGCAGGCGGUUUGUUAAGUCAGCGGUCAAAGCCCGGGGCUCACACCCGGCCCGCCGGUGAAACUGGCAGUCUCGAGUUGGAGAGAAGUAUGCGGAAUGCGCGGUGUAGCGGUGAAAUGCAUAGAUAUCGCGCAGAACUCCGAUUGCGAAGGCAGCAUGCCGGCUCCACACUGACGCUGAGGCACGAAAGCGUGGGUAUCGAACAGGAGUAGAUACCCCGGUAGUC
rnacentral:rRNA from 1 species